rnacentral:tRNA from 1 species
GCUAGGGUAGUUUAAUUAAAACAUAAAUUUUGUAAAUUUGAGAGGGUUAUAUUA